GAUGAACGCUGGCGGCGUGCCUAAUACAUGCAAGUCGAGCGAACAGACGAGGAGCUUGCUCCUCUGACGUUAGCGGCGGACGGGUGAGUAACACGUGGAUAACCUACCUAUAAGACUGGGAUAACUUCGGGAAACCGGAGCUAAUACCGGAUAAUAUAUUGAACCGCAUGGUUCAAUAGUGAAAGACGGUUUUGCUGUCACUUAUAGAUGGAUCCGCGCCGCAUUAGCUAGUUGGUAAGGUAACGGCUUACCAAGGCGACGAUGCGUAGCCGACCUGAGAGGGUGAUCGGCCACACUGGAGCUGAGACACGGUCCAGCCUCCUACGGGAGGCAGCAGUAGGGAAUCUUCCGCAAUGGGCGAAAGCCUGACGGAGCAACGCCGCGUGAGUGAUGAAGGUCUUCGGAUCGUAAAACUCUGUUAUUAGGGAAGAACAAAUGUGUAAGUAACGAUGCACGUCUUGACGGUACCGAAUCAGAAAGCCACGGCUAACUACGU
rnacentral:rRNA from 1 species